rnacentral:rRNA from 1 species
AUUGAACGCUGGCGGAAUGCUUUACACAUGCAAGUCGAGCGGCAGCGCGGGGGCAACCCUGGCGGCGAAGCGGCGAACGGGUGAGUAACAUAUCGGAACGUACCCCGUCGUGGGGGAUAACACAGCGAAAGCUGUGCUAAUACCGCAUACGACCUGAGGGUGAAAGCGGGGGAUCGCAAGACCUCGCGCGAUGGGAGCGGCCGAUAUCGGAUUAGCUUGUUGGUGAGGUAAAGGCUCACCAAGGCGACGAUCCGUAGCUGGUCUGAGAGGACGACCAGCCACACUGGAACUGAGACACGGUCCAGACUCCUACGGGAGGCAGCAGUGGGGAAUUUUGGACAAUGGGGGCAACCCUGAUCCAGCCAUUCCGCGUGAGUGAAGAAGGCCU